rnacentral:rRNA from 1 species
CUACGGGAUGCACCAGUGAAGAAUAUUGCACAAUGGAGGAAACUCUGAUGCAGCAACGCCGCGUGGAGGAUGACGCAUUUCGGUGUGUAAACUCCUUUUAUAUGUCAAGAAAAUGACGGUAGCAUAUGAAUAAGCACCGGCUAACUCCGUGCCAGCAGCCGCGGUAAUACGGAGGGUGCAAGCGUUACUCGGAAUCACUGGGCGUAAAGGACGCGUAGGCGGGAUAUCAAGUCAGGUGUGAAAUCCUACAGCUUAACUGUAGAACUGCACUUGAAACUGGUAACCUAGAGUAUGGGAGGGGGAGAUGGAAUUAGUGGUGUAGGGGUAAAAUCCGUAGAUAUCACUAGGAAUACCUAAAGCGAAGGCGAUCUCCUGGAACAUAACUGACGCUAAGGCGUGAAAGCGUGGGGAGCAAACAGGAUUAGAUACCCCCGUAGUC